UCUCGGCUGCUCCCGGUCGCCCAGCGGGGGAGCCGGGUCGGAGGGGCCCGGGACGGCCGAGAAGCUGGUCUGCGCCCCCACUUGGUGCUGCGGGGCUUUGGAGAAGACCCCCGAUCUCCAGCCCCUUCCCUCAAAGCUAUGAGACCGUGGUCCGGUUCCGGGGCAGUCCAUCCUCGGGUUCCCCAUUUGUAGAAUGGGGGUCCCCAGCCCCUACGUCAGAGACAGGAAAAUAUUCAGAAAACUGGGAACAGCGUGGACUCCGGGAAGGAGACGAAGGCCUGGACACAUGAAGUGGCUGCCCAAGGGGCUCAGCUAGUGCGCGGCAGGACGAGAAGGGCAAGUGAAUGAAUGUUGGGAGUGAAGAAGCAGCACCAUCAGGACCACAGGCAUACCUCGGAGAUGUUGUGGACUUGGUUCCAGACUAUUGCAAUAAAAAGCUUGUUCCUGUCCUUGUGGUUUGCUGCUUGGAAAAUCACCUUAAUGCAGGUGAGUCAACACAGGUGGACACGAUGAAGAAGCGUCAUUUGGAACUGGAACUUCACACGUGAACGUGCGGAGGCUUUCUGCUGCUAGAGGGUCCGAGUUCUGUUUCUUAGCAUCUCCGUGUCUUUACUAGAAUCCAUCUCAGAAGCGAUGAAAGAAGAGCCUUUCUCUUAAAAACUGUCAGUAGUACUCACUUAUUUUGGACAACACCCUCCUUUAGGAGAGGAACCAUCAAUAGUAAAAAUCAGUAUUUGGUCCGAGGGUGGGUGCUAAGGGUGGGGCGUUCCUCUUCAUUCCUUUUAUACAGAGUGCCCCCCAAAAAAUGUAUACACACUUUGAAUGAUCAUAA